rnacentral:rRNA from 1 species
UACGUAGGUGGCAAGCGUUGUCCGGAUUUACUGGGCGUAAAGAGCGCGCAGGCGGUCGGUCAAGUCGAGUGUGAAAGCCCCCGGCUCAACUGGGGAGGGUCACUCGAUACUGAUCGACUCGAAGGCAGGAGAGGGAAGUGGAAUUCCCGGUGUAGUGGUGAAAUGCGUAGAUAUCGGGAGGAACACCAAUGGCGAAGGCGACUUCCUGGCCUGUUCUUGACGCUGAGGCGCGAAAGCUAGGGGAGCAAACGGG